GACGAAGUGCCCAAACGUUGUUCGGAAUCACUGGGCUUAAAGGGCGCGUAGGCGGCAGAUCAAGUCAGGGGUGAAAUCCGGCAGCUCAACUGUCGAAGUGCCUUUGAUACUGAUUUGCUCGAGGGAGAUAGGGGUCUGUGGAACUUCUGGUGGAGCGGUGAAAUGCGUUGAUAUCAGAAGGAACGCCGGUGGCGAAAGCGACGGACUGGAUCUCUUCUGACGCUGAGGCGCGAAAGCUAGGGGAGCAAACGGG
rnacentral:rRNA from 1 species